rnacentral:tRNA from 23 species
CGGGUUGUGGCUCAGCUUGGUAGAGCGCUCGGUUCGGGACCGAGAGGUCGCUGGUUCGAAUCCAGUCAACCCGACCA